rnacentral:rRNA from 1 species
UACGUAGGGAGCAAGCGUUGUUCGGAUUUACUGGGCGUAAAGGGCGCGUAGGCGGCGCGGUAAGUCACUUGUGAAAUCUCUGAGCUUAACUCAGAACGGCCAAGUGAUACUGCAGUGCUAGAGUGCAGAAAGGGCAAUCGGAAUUCUUGGUGUAGCGGUGAAAUGCGUAGAUAUCAAGAGGAACACCUGAGGCGAAGGCGGGUUGCUAGGCUGACACUGACGCUGAGGCGCGAAGGCUAGGGGAGCAAACGGG